UACGUAGGGGGCGAGCGUUGUCUGAAGUUACUGGGCGUAAAGCGCGCGUAGGCGGGUUGGCAAGUCUGCUGUGAAAGCCCGGGGCUUAACUCCGGAGGGUCGGUGGAUACUGCCAGUCUUGAAGGUGCUAGGGAGAGAUGGAAUUACCGGUGUAGCGGUGAAAUGCGUAGAUAUCGGUAGGAACACCAGUGGCGAAGGCGGUCUCUUGGGGCAUUCUUGACGCUGAGGUGCGAAAGCGUGGGGAGCAAACAGG
rnacentral:rRNA from 1 species